rnacentral:rRNA from 1 species
GACGAACGCUGGCGGCGUGCUUAACACAUGCAAGUCGAACGGAAAGGCCCUGCUUUUGUGGGGUGCUCGAGUGGCGAACGGGUGAGUAACACGUGAGUAACCUGCCCUUGACUUUGGGAUAACUUCAGGAAACUGGGGCUCAUACCGGAUAGGAGCUCCUGCUGCAUGGUGGGGGUUGGAAAGUUUCGGCGGUUGGGGAUGGACUCGCGGCUUAUCAGCUUGUUGGUGGGGUAGUGGCUUACCAAGGCUUUGACGGGUAGCCGGCCUGAGAGGGUGACCGGCCACAUUGGGACUGAGAUACGGCCCAGACUCCUACGGGAGGCAGCAGUGGGGAAUAUUGCACAAUGGGCGGAAGCCUGAUGCAGCAACGCCGCGUGCGGGAUGACGGCCUUCGGGUUGUAAACCGUUUUCGCCUGUGACGAAGCGUGAGUGACGGUAAUGGGUAAAGAAGCACCGGCUAACUACGUG